AGUUGAAUGAAGCACAGUUCUUAUUUCUUCCAGCUGUGAAUGUGGAUUCUUCCCACACAGAAUAUACAUUGUCCUCUUUGACUAGUGACACAUUGUACAUGGUACGAAUGGCAGCAUACACAGAUGAAGGUGGGAAGGAUGGUCCAGAAUUCACUUUUACUACCCCAAAGUUUGCUCAAGGAGAAAUUGAAGCCAUAGUCGUGCCUGUUUGCUUAGCAUUCCUAUUGACAACUCUUCUGGGAGUGCUGUUCUGCUUUAAUAAGCGAGACCUAAUUAAAAAACACAUCUGGCCUAAUGUUCCAGAUCCUUCAAAGAGUCAUAUUGCCCAGUGGUCACCUCACACUCCUCCAAGGCACAAUUUUAAUUCAAAAGAUCAAAUGUAUUCAGAUGGCAAUUUCACUGAUGUAAGUGUUGUGGAAAUAGAAGCAAAUGACAAAAAGCCUUUUCCAGAAGAUCUGAAAUCAUUGGACCUGUUCAAA
rnacentral:ncRNA from 2 species